UACGAAGGGGGCUAGCGUUGCUCGGAAUUACUGGGCGUAAAGCGCACGUAGGCGGUUUCUUAAGUCGGGGGUGAAAUCCUGGAGCUCAACUCCAGAACUGCCUUCGAUACUGGGAGACUUGAGUUCGGGAGAGGUGAGUGGAACUGCGAGUGUAGAGGUGAAAUUCGUAGAUAUUCGCAAGAACACCAGUGGCGAAGGCGGCUCACUGGCCCGAUACUGACGCUGAGGUGCGAAAGCGUGGGGAGCAAACGGG
rnacentral:rRNA from 1 species